rnacentral:lncRNA from 1 species
UAUGUUCUCUACCAGUGUCAUUAUUAAUCUUAUUUGCCAACUUUCUCUCCAACUCACCACCCUAUAAGACUUUUUAUUUAAAAUUGAUUAUUCCAGUCCGGAGUGGUGGUGCACACCUGUAAUCCCAGCACUUGGGAGGCUGAGGCAGGAGGAUCAUUUUGAAUUCGAGGCCAGCCUGGGCUACAAAGUGAGCUCAAGACCAGCCUGAAUGGCAUAGAAAGACCCUGUCUCAAAAAGACAAAAAAAAAAAAAAUCGAUUAUUCCAAAGAGUGACACAAAUUUUUCCAUCUGUUCAAGAAGAGAUUUGUCAUGGACUCUGCCUUUCUUUGCCUUUUGCAAUUCCAAGAUACUCAGAUGAACACCUCCAGUGUGCAGGCCACAGUCACAAGCAAAGCAGAAGAAGUGCUCCCACGCCCUGGGCACACGUGGGCAGGCUCCUCCGUGCUCACUCUCUUUUCCUGCAAACAGCAGUCAUGUCUGUAGUUUGGAUUCCUUUUAGGGAAUUAUAAAAUACGCGAACAACCAUGGUUAGUAAGCAAUCACUUUGGUAUUCACUCUCAGUGUGAAUUCCUACCAUUAGAUACUUGUCCCUUGUUCUUAAGAUUCAAAUAUCAGAGUUUUGUUAGGCGGCAUUUUCAGUUAGGGUGAGCUUCUAAUGACUCUAGCUCUUGUGAAGAUGUGAGGAAAAGAAGCUCAGGGUCAGCCAUGUUCACGCUGCUGAAGCUCGGCACUGUAGAGACAAACCAGUUGGGGGCAUGUCGCAAGUACUCACUGAGAGCUCACAGAACAAUUGCUGGAAACACUCUAUAAACAAUUUAUAGUAAGUUUACUCAGAAUGGGUAUUUUGCUUUGAAAUGAUAAAAGUCGUUGGAUUGUUUGGAAUACCCACAUUGAUCCUUUGAAAUUCUUCUGCAUGCUAUGAGUUUAAAGAUGACCGGCAGGAUAUUUGAGCAGUUUCAUUCUAAUGUUAUACCCUAUCCAGAUGUUAAGAGUGGGUGGGUAGAAAGGAAGUGUCCCCAAACGGUUCUCUUCUUCUUGUAGUUCAAUAAAUUUCCUGCUCUUAUCAGUUUUUCUAAAACAUUAAUUACUAUUCAGAGACACAUAUAUUGACACACCCUUCCUGUCUGCACAAAUGACUCUGGCGCUGAUGGGAAAGUCAAGAGAACUGAGAGUCUUAUGGUUGCCAAUCUGCAUAUUAACUCCCCACUUCAAGACAACAAAGAGAGGAGCAAAGGGCGCUUCCCCACCGAUGUCGCCUGAUACUGGGGUGGCGGCCAUAGAAGCCAGGCAGCUCUGAGGAA